CAGCAACAAAAGUUGAAGAAAACAGGCCAUUUGAACAAACCAUGUUCCCUGAAGAAUAAGCCAACCAUGGCCCAAUUUCGGAACAUCUUACGAUAUAUUUGCAAUACCCACUUUUGAUUUAUUAAUUUAUGGUCGAUAACACUAACUUCACUCUUUUUUGUCAUUUUUUUUUUUUACUAACUUUACUCUUUAUUUAGUUCAUGAACAUGAUCCGUUAGAGAAAGAUGAACAAUUGACAUUUUUGUAGUUCAACAAUCCAUGUGAGUAUACUACGCAAAAAAACCAAAGUUAAACCUAAAUUUUUAUAAUUUUAGAAUGUAUAUACAUUAAUACCUAAAUUUUUAAUUUUUUUUUUAAUAAUUUAGAUGUUUCAUUUCUAGGUAUCAAACUCAACAUCGUUAGCACACACUCUUCCAAUCUUCUAUGAAGGAAUGAAGUGGAAACUCGUUCAUAUGUUAAAACAAAGAUGAAGAAUUGAAGUGGAAACUCAAUCAUGUGUUAAAACAAGAUGAAGAAUCCAAGAUCCGAUCAAAAGUAUAUCAGUACAAAUCCAAAGUCCAACCUAUCAUAGUUACACUAUACUAAGAAAAGGCACUUCUACAACAUUACGACCAAGACCCAUUUUACCACCUAGUUCUUGUCAUUUGCGACUGUCCAACAAUUUACUCCAUCAUAUGACAACAUUCAUGUAGCCAAGAUUCAAUUUACCACAUCCAUUAAACCAACUAUUCGGUAUUUUAAGUGUGAUAUCUGUCAUUUUUCGAAGUAUAACCAAAGUACUUUUUCUCCGAAUUGAUCCGAAUGUCUUAUUCAUUCUGAUGUUUGGCGACCAUUCCAUGUUCUAGUAUUUCUUGU
rnacentral:lncRNA from 1 species